rnacentral:rRNA from 1 species
AUACGUAGGUGACAAGCGUUAUCCGGAUUUACUGGGCGUAAAGGGCGUGUAGGCGGUCUUGCAAGUCAGAAGUGAAAUUCCUGAGCUCAACUCGGGCGCUGCUUCUGAAACUGCAGGACUUGAGUGCUGGAGGGGAUAGCGGAAUUCCUAGUGGAGCGGUAAAAUGCGCAGAUAUUAGGAAGAACACCGGUGGCGAAGGCGGCUAGCUGGACAGUAACUGACGCUGAGGCGCGAAAGCGUGGGGAGCAAACAGGAUUAGAUUCCCUGGUAGUCCACGCUGUAAACGAUGAAUACUAGGUGUAGGGGGUAUCGACUCCCUCUGUGCCGCAGUUAACACAAUAAGUAUUCCGCCUGGGGAGUACGGCCGCAAGGUUGAAACUCAAAUGAAUUGGCGGGG